GAUGAACGCUGGCGGCGUGCCUAAUACAUGCAAGUCGAGCGAACAGACGAGGAGCUUGCUCCUCUGACGUUAGCGGCGGACGGGUGAGUAACACGUGGAUAACCUACCUAUAAGACUGGGAUAACUUCGGGAAACCGGAGCUAAUACCGGAUAAUAUAUUGAACCGCAUGGUUCAAUAGUGAAAGACGGUUUUGCUGUCACUUAUAGAUAGAUCCGCGCCGCAUUAGCUAGUUGGUAAGGUAACGGCUUACCAAGGCAACGAUGCGUAGCCACCCUGAGAGGGUGAUCGGCCACACUGGAACUGAGACACGGUCCAGACUCCUACGGGAGGCAGCAGUAGGGAAUCUUCCGCAAUGGGCGAAAGCCUGACGGAGCAACGCCGCGUGAGUGAUGAAGGUCUUCGGAUCGUAAAACUCUGUUAUAAGGGAAGAACAAAGGUGUAAGUAACUAUGCACGUCUUGACGGUACCUAAUCAGAAAGCCACGGCUAACUACGUG
rnacentral:rRNA from 1 species